CAAACAAAUAAAAACCUAAUAAUAUAAAGGUCUUGCUAAUAACCUUAACCAAUUCAUGCUAUUUGGCAGAAUGAGUAAGACCACACUCCACAGUGGACUAUACCACUUACUAUGGUUCAUUACUAUAUUGUGGCCUACAUU
rnacentral:snoRNA from 14 species